AACGAACGCUGGCGGCAUGCCUAACACAUGCAAGUCGAACGAGACCUUCGGGUCUAGUGGCGCACGGGUGCGUAACGCGUGGGAACCUGCCCUUAGGCUCGGAAUAACUCCCCGACAGGGGUGCUAAUACCGGAUAAUGUCUUCGGACCAAAGAUUUAUCGCGUUUGGAUGGGCCGGCGUUGGAUUAGCUAGUUGGGAGGGUAAAAGCCUACCAAGGCGAGGAUCCAUAGCUGGUCUGAGAGGAUGAUCAGCCACACUGAGACUGAGACACGGCCCAGACUCCUACGGGAGGCAGCAGUGGGGGAUACUGGACAAUGGGGGAAAGCCUGAUCCAGCAAGGCCGGGUGAGUGAUGAAGGUCUGAGAGUUGUAAAGCUCUUUUACCCGGGAUGAUAAUGACAGUACCGGAAGAAUAAGCUCCGGCUAACUCCGUG
rnacentral:rRNA from 1 species